AUGGAAAGGAACUUGAAGGAUAUGAAGACUGGGUCAGCUUUGAUUUGAGAUCCUUCGAUGAGAGAGGGUGCAAUGAUGCUCCCUAGCUAGUAAGAGUCCCAUCUUGGCCUUCUAAGGGAAAGAUAGGUAAAUGAAAAGACUGCUAAAUCCAAGGUCAGACAGCAUAUAGAAGGCUUUAUAAAAGAACAGGAAAACUCAGAACACUAAAUAAGAGAGUGCUUUCUUGGACUCUGCAGUUGGCCUCAAUCAUCGGAUCUGGAAUAUUACUUUUUACGAUUUUGGAAGCCGAUACACACCUGGAACUUUAUGAAUCCAGAAAGAGCCAACGUUUGAAUGAUUACUGCAAUCUCACAUCUAUUAAAUCCUGAUACCUGCAACCAAGAGAUGAGUAGGAGAUGUGGAUCCUAAGAGAAACAUAAAAUUGACAGAGCCAGGAAGUAACCCAGGAAAAAGAUGUGGUAGCAAGGACAAGUCAUUCUUGGAGAAGUUUUCAAAAGGGGAAUAUCCACGGGUAAAUGUCAACUGAAGCUCAGAUCACCUCAAGAAACCUGAGAUUAACAAAAAGGCACUACACAGAAGUGGUGAAGAACACAGCAUCACUCCUGUGAUAUUCCUGUUGAAGAUAUGUUACCUAAAUUAAACACAAGGAACCACCAGACAAGUCCAAAUUGAGGGACUUUCUACAAAAUAACUUAAUAGCAUCAAGGUUAUGAACAUCAAAGAAGGCCUGAAGAAACUGUUCCAGACUGGAGGAGACUAAGACAACAUGAAAAAUAAAUGCAAUGUGUGAUUCUGAC
rnacentral:lncRNA from 1 species